rnacentral:lncRNA from 1 species
AACAAAAUAUUUUCAGGCUUCAAAUCUCUAUAAAUAAAUCCCAUCAAGUGGAGGUAUUCUAAUGCAGCGGUAACUUCUGCAAUGUAAAAUUUGGCCUCGUUUUCUGAUAAACAACGGCCAGGACGUCGUUGCAAAGCUCGAAAAAACUCACCUCCCAUACAAUACUCCAUACAUAAAUAAAGGUAUUCAUCAGAUUGAAAAGAAUGAUAAAGUGUAACAAUGAAUGGGUGGUUACUUGUCGCAAGAAUGUGCUGUUCUGCAAAAGCUCGUUUGCUUUUGUUGCGUUUAAUCAUUUCUUGCUUACUCAAAACUUUCAUGGCAUAAAAUUUGCCAGACUUUUUUUCUCUAACAAGAUAAACUCGACCGACAUCUCCCUUGCCAAGUAGAAAAACCUUUUCAAAGCUAGAUGGACCAACCUCAACAUCACAUAUCUUGAUAGAGUUGGAAGAAUAUGUUCUCGCUCUCGUUGCAACAGUUUUCUUAAUAUGAGCCAAUUCUUUUUCCUUCCCAUGAGGACUGAAAAUAUCUUUUAACUUUUCUCGCUGAACUGAGGUAUCAGCACCAUUACUACGAGAAACAUUUCGCGACUUGGGAACAUCUUUCUUCUUCCUCCCACUUUUAAAAAACGAUUUUUUUAUUACGGAAAUUGAAUCAGUACCACUCCCGUCACCACCUUCUGCGGAACUACCAGUGCCAUCAAUUUUGCGAUCAGACUCUUCCUCGGUCUGCGACUCAGGUGCACCAGAAGGUGAUUGAUUUGCAGCAUCGCUAUCUUCCGACGUCAAUUCUUUUUCCUUCUUUCGAGAAAAAGCAAACUUUCUGCUAUCCUUAAAAUGCAGCCUUAUGAAGGCUCGAAACUUGGAUGGCUUGGCAGUGCCGGAAUGUUUCCAGUGUCCUGUGUCAUCUUUCUUAGCUUCUUCUAGGUGAUCUUCAACAUUGAUCCUUCCUUCCUCAGAGCUCUCACCAUCAUGAAGUUCAUUCAUUUGCUUUUGAAAGUGCUACGAGUCGGUCGCAAUACAAUUCAAUUCCACUGAUAUUUUUGUGUAUGGCGGAAAGUACACCGGAUGACAUUACUGAGACACUGACACUUAUGAUAUACUAGAAAUAUAACCGACUGCGUUAUCGAUCGUUGUACCUCACAAACCGUAAGAGCAAUGUUUAUAUAGCAUACAGGAAAAUAUAUGAAGAGCAAGAAUCUGUCUAUGUUUAUUAAACCAAACAAAUCAAAAACUAUAAGUGAAAGUUAUGCAUGGAUUGCCUAGCUUCAUACAAGAGUUUUCAAAAAAGAUUUUACAUUCUAUACUUCCAAAUUAUAAUGAAAUGGACUCCUGAAACAGCAUUAAAAUAACCCAGUCAUAGUAUACAGUGAUGGAAAACAUUAAAAAAUUAUAUUCAUGAGUAACCCAACAUAAAAAUGAAUAAGAUGCCCAUGAGGCAACAAAAAGCUUUUUUAUUUAUUAAAGAUCAUAACUUACCAACGAUCACGAAUCAAACCAGUAAAACAAAACAAAGAACUCAAUAAUUGACCGCUAAGUUUAACGAAGAAAUAGCCAAGUUACGUUUCCGUUCAAUACUCUUUUCCGUAACAAGUUUGGACCACCGAUCAGCAGCCUCUUUAAUAAACGAAUCGGGUUGAAAAGAGUAUUGAACCAAAUCACUCAAAAAUGAGUAGAUGGCAGAAGAGGAAUUGCAUGCUAAAAUUUGUUGCUUUAAAGAUUUUAGAAUCGUAAGUGCAACUCUAAAUAAGCAUACAUAACCAUCACAAAACAACAUGUC